rnacentral:rRNA from 1 species
GACGAACCGAGCGAACGUUGUUCGGAAUCACUGGGCUUAAAGGGCGCGUAGGCGGGCUGUCAAGUCUGGGGUGAAAUCCCACGGCUCAACCGUGGAACUGCUUGGUAUACUGCCUGUCUUGAGGCACUCAGGGGCGAGCGGAACAGAUGGUGGAGCGGUGAAAUGCGUAGAUAUCAUCUGGAACGCCAAUGGUGAAGACAGCUCGCUGGGGGUGUACUGACACUGAGACACGAAAGCCAGGGGAGCAAACGGG